rnacentral:rRNA from 1 species
AGAGUUUGAUCCUGGCUCAGAUUGAACGCUGGCGGCAUGCCUAACACAUGCAAGUCGAACGGCAGCACAGUCGUAGCAAUACGAUGGGUGGCGAGUGGCGGACGGGUGAGGAAUGCAUCGGAAUCUGCCCGGUCGUGGGGGAUAACGUACCGAAAGGUGCGCUAAUACCGCAUGAGACCGAGAGGUGAAAGCGGGGGACCGCAAGGCCUCGCGCGAUCGGAUGAGCCGAUGCCGGAUUAGCUAGUUGGCGGGGUAAGAGCCCACCAAGGCGACGAUCCGUAGCUGGUCUGAGAGGAUGAUCAGCCACACUGGGACUGAGACACGGCCCAGACUCCUACGGGAGGCAGCAGUGGGGAGUAUUGGACAAUGGGCGCAAGCCUGAUCCAGCAAUGCCGCGUGUGUGAAGAAGGCCUUCGGGUUGUAAAGCACUUUUAUCGGGAACGAAAAGCGGACGGUGAACAGCCGUUCGUGCUGACGGUACCCGAGGAAUAAGCACCGGCUAACUUCGUGCCAGCAGCCGCGGUAAUACGAAGGGUGCAAGCGUUAAUCGGAAUUACUAGGCGUAAAGCGUGCGUAGGCGGUUCGCUGAGUCUGCCGUGAAAGCCCUGGGCUCAACCUGGGAAUGGCGGUGGAUACUGGCGAGCUGGAGUGCGGUAGAGGAGGGCGGAAUUCCCGGUGUAGCGGUGAAAUGCGUAGAGAUCGGGAGGAACAUCAGUGGCGAAGGCGGCCCUCUGGACCAGCACUGACGCUGAGGCACGAAAGCGUGGGGGAGCAAACAG